rnacentral:rRNA from 1 species
UACGGGGGGAGCAAGCGUUGUUCGGAUUUACUGGGCGUAAAGGGCGCGUAGGCGGUCGUGACAAGUCACUUGUGAAAUCUCCGGGCUUAACUCGGAACGGUCAAGUGAUACUGUCGGACUAGAGUACAGAAGGGGCAACUGGAAUUCUCGGUGUAGCGGUGAAAUGCGUAGAUAUCUGGAGGAACACCGGUGGCGAAGGCGGCAUCCUGGACCAACACUGACGCUGAGUGAGCGAAAGCCAGGGGAGCAAACGGG